rnacentral:lncRNA from 1 species
UGUGAAUGAGUCUUUGACCAGUGGAGCAUAGUCUCCAACUUCUACUACAGCCCACAUAUUGAUAUUUUGUGACCUAAGAAACAAUUCCAUCUUGUCUUUCCAGUAGUAGUAGUCAUUUCCUUCAAAAAGAGGUGGUCUAUUUGAUGAUCCUCCUUCUGAGAUGAAUUUUGCAGGUUUAGACAUUACUUCCUUCCUGAAUCUUUUCCUCAAGCACUUGUUAGAUGCUUAGCUUUUAGAGGCAGUGCUCUGAUGCCAAUUGAAGUAACAACGUUUGUCACAAGAAAGGGGGGUUUGAAUUGUGACGCUUUAAAAAUUUAACUGCAAAAUAAUUUAAG